rnacentral:rRNA from 1 species
AUUGAACGCUGGCGGCAGGCCUAACACAUGCAAGUCGAGCGGAUGAAGGGAGCUUGCUCCUGGAUUCAGCGGCGGACGGGUGAGUAAUGCCUAGGAAUCUGCCUGGUAGUGGGGGAUAACGUCCGGAAACGGGCGCAAAUACCGCAUACGUCCUGAGGGAGAAAGUGGGGGAUCUUCGGACCUCACGCUAUCAGAUGAGCCUAGGUCGGAUUAGCUAGUUGGUGGGGUAAAGGCCUACCAAGGCGACGAUCCGUAACUGGUCUGAGAGGAUGAUCAGUCACACUGGAACUGAGACACGGUCCAGACUCCUACGGGAGGCAGCAGUGGGGAAUAUUGGACAAUGGGCGAAAGCCUGAUCCAGCCAUGCCGCGUGUGUGAAGAAGGUCUUCGGAUUGUAAAGCACUUUAAGUUGGGAGGAAGGGCAGUAAGUUAAUACCUUGCUGUUUUGACGUUACCAACAGAAUAAGCACCAGCUAACUUCGUG